AACGAACGCUGGCGGCAUGCCUAACACAUGCAAGUCGAACGAGAUCCUCCGGGGUAUAGUGGCACACGGGUGUGUAACGCGUGGAAAUCUGCCUAUAGGUUCGGUAACACAGUUAGAAAUGACUUAUUAUACCGGAAUAUGAUGGUACGUCAAAAGAUUUAUCGCCUGAGGAUGAGCCCGCGUAUGAUUAGCUAGUUGGUGUGGUAAAGGCGCACCAAGGCGACGAUCCUUAGCUGGUCUGAGAGGAUGAUCAGCCACACUGGGACUGAGACACGGCCCAGACUCCUACGGGAGGCAGCAGUGGGGAAUAUUGGACAAUGGGCGCAAGCCUGAUCCAGCAAUGCCGCGUGAGUGAUGAAGGCCUUAGGGUUGUAAAGCUCUUUUACCCGGGAUGAUAAUGACAGUACCGGGAGAAUAAGCCCCGGCUAACUCCGUG
rnacentral:rRNA from 1 species